UACGAAGGGGACUAGCGUUGUUCGGAAUUACUGGGCGUAAAGCGCACGUAGGCGGAUUUGUAAGUCAGGGGUGAAAUCCCGGGGCUCAACCUCGGAACUGCCUUUGAUACUGCGAGUCUCGAGUCCGAUAGAGGUGGGUGGAAUUCCUAGUGUAGAGGUGAAAUGCGCAGAUAUCAGGAAGAACACCGAUGGCGAAAGCAGCUCUCUGGGACGGUACUGACGCUGAGACGCGAAAGCGUGGGGAGCGAACAGG
rnacentral:rRNA from 1 species